GUGGGGAAUAUUGGACAAUGGACCAAGAGUCUGAUCCAGCAAUUCUGUGUGCACGAUGAAGUUUUUCGGAAUGUAAAGUGCUUUCAGUUGGGAAGAAAAAAAUGACGGUACCAACAGAAGAAGUGACGGCUAAAUACGUGCCAGCAGCCGCGGUAAUACGUAUGUCACAAGCGUUAUCCGGAUUUAUUGGGCGUAAAGCGCGUCUAGGUGGUUAUGUAAGUCUGAUGUGAAAAUGCAGGGCUCAACUCUGUAUUGCGUUGGAAACUGUGUAACUAGAGUACUGGAGAGGUAAGCGGAACUACAAGUGUAGAGGUGAAAUUCGUAGAUAUUUGUAGGAAUGCCGAUGGGGAAGCCAGCUUACUGGACAGAUACUGACGCUAAAGCGCGAAAGCGUGGGUAGCAAACAGG
rnacentral:rRNA from 1 species